rnacentral:rRNA from 1 species
AAAGGGCGCGUAGGCGGAUGUUUUAGUCAGGCGUGAAAGUCCUGGGCUCAACCUGGGGAUUGCGUUUGAUACGGGGCAUCUAGAGUUGGGAAGAGGGUCGUGGAAUUCCCAGUGUAGAGGUGAAAUUCGUAGAUAUUGGGAAGAACACCGGUGGCGAAGGCGGCGACCUGGUCCUUGACUGACGCUGAGGCGCGAAAGCGUGGGGAGCAAACAGGAUUAGAUACCCCAGU